rnacentral:rRNA from 1 species
GACUCAACACGGGGAAACUCACCAGGUCCAGACACGAUGAGGAUUGACAGAUUGAGAGCUCUUUCUUGAUUUCGUGGGUGGUGGUGCAUGGCCGUUCUUAGUUGGUGGAGUGAUUUGUCUGCUUAAUUGCGAUAACGAACGAGACCUUAACCUGCUAAAUAGCCCGUAUUGCUUUGGCAGUACGCUGGCUUCUUAGAGGGACUAUCGGCUCAANCCGAUGGAAGUUUGAGGCAAUAACAGGUCUGUGAUGCCCUUAGAUGUUNUGGGCCGCACGCGCGCUACACUGACAGAGCCAGCGAGUACUCCCUUGGCCGGAAGGCCCGGGUAAUCUUGUUAAACUCUGUCGUGCUGGGGAUAGAGCAUUGCAAUUAUUGCUCUUCAACGAGGAAUCCNUAGUAAGCGCAAGUCAUCAGCUUGCGUUGAUUACGUCCCUGCCCUUUGUACACACCNCCCGUCGCUACUACCGAUUGAAUGGCUCAGUGAGGCUUCCGGACUGGCCCAGAGAGGUCGGCAACGACCACUCAGGGCCGGAAAGCUAUCCAAAGCUCGGUCAUUUAGAGGAAGUAAAAGUCUGUAAGCAAGGUUU